rnacentral:rRNA from 1 species
UACGUAGGUGGCGAGCGUUUUCCGGAUUUAUUGGGCGUAAAGAGCCCGCAGGCGGCUUGGCAAGUUUCGGGUGAAAUCUCCCGGCUUAACCGGGAGGGUGCCCGGAAAACUGCCAGGCUUGAGGCAUGGAGAGGGAUGCGGAAUUCCCGGUGUAGUGGUGAAAUGCGUAGAUAUCGGGAGGAACACCAGUGGCGAAGGCGGCAUCCUGGCCAUGUCCUGACGCUCAGGGGCGAAAGCGUGGGGAGCAAACCGG